rnacentral:tRNA from 2 species
GUGAGCGUGGCGAAGUGGUUAACGCACCGGAUUGUGGUUCCGGCAUUCGUGGGUUCGAUUCCCAUCGCUCACC